AUGCGGCGGCCUGCUGGCAGGGGGCUGCCAGGGCCAGGGCUAUCGGGUAGGAGAGCGACAGCAACCGCCGGUUCCUCGCAGCUGCUCCCCUCGGCUUUCCAGAGCCUCACCGGUGAGCCCGUGUAUGGCACCAGCGCCGCAGUAUUGGGCGCGUUGGGAAGAUCUUGGCGGCCCUUACCGUGUUCUCACCAGUGCAGAACCGGGCUUUAG
rnacentral:rRNA from 1 species